UACGUAGGGGGCAAGCGUUGUCCGGAUUCAUUGGGCGUAAAGAGCGUGUAGGCGGCCAGGUAGGUCGGUUGUGAAAACUGGAGGCUCAACCUUCAGAGGUCGACCGAAACCAUCUGGCUAGAGUCCGGGAGAGGAGAGUGGAAUUCCUGGUGUAGCGGUGAAAUGCGCAGAUAUCAGGAAGAACACCCGUGGCGAAGGCGGCUCUCUGGGCCGGUACUGACGCUGAGGAGCGAAAGCGUGGGGAGCGAACAGG
rnacentral:rRNA from 1 species